rnacentral:lncRNA from 1 species
GACAGAUUGAUUUGUGAGGACUGGAAAAUACGCCAGCAGCCGGGUUCUCCUCCCAGGCAUUUCCGCAAACACCUUGUGCCCGCUCUAGCUCACUGCUCAUGGGCAUCAACCGAGGACACCUCGGCUGGAGAUUCCGUCACAAAGGCCAAAGGGCAUGGGUUGUAAGAAACAACUAGAGAGUAGAGAUUUGCAUGUAGAGCACGCACCUUUGAGAAGCUCUCGCUCCCGCGCUCCGCCCGGACGGCCUCACGCGCUAAGCCGCCGUCGUGACGCCGUCCAUAUCUGCCGCCCGAGCCCGUACUGGCUCCAAAUGUGAGGCCGGGAAGAGGGUGGUGGGGGGAGGAAGAAGGUUGCGCCACCUCCUCCUCCCGCCGGAGAUGCGGCGUCUCCUCCCCCACCGUGCUCCUCCUCCU